rnacentral:rRNA from 1 species
AUUGAACGCUGGCGGAAUGCUUUACACAUGCAAGUCGAACGGCAGCACGGGUGCUUGCACCUGGUGGCGAGUGGCGAACGGGUGAGUAAUAUAUCGGAACGUAUCCAAUAAUGGGGGAUAACUAGCCGAAAGGUUAGCUAAUACCGCAUACGCCCUGAGGGGGAAAGCUGGGGAUCGUAAGACCUAGCGUUGAUGGAGCGGCCGAUAUCUGAUUAGCUAGUUGGUGGGGUAAGAGCCUACCAAGGCGACGAUCAGUAGCUGGUCUGAGAGGACGACCAGCCACACUGGAACUGAGACACGGUCCUGACUCCUACGGGAGGCAGCAGUGGGGAAUUUUGGACAAUGGGGGCAACCCUGAUCCAGCCAUUCCGCGUGAGUGAAGAAGGCCUUCGGGUUGUAAAGCUCUUUCGCAAGGGAAGAAAACUCGAUCUCUAAUAUAGGUUGAGGCUGACGGUACCUUGAUAAGAAGCACCGGCUAACUACGUGCCAGCAGCCGCGGUAA